UACGUAGGGUGCAAGCGUUGCCCGGAUUUAUUGGGCGUAAAGGGCGCGUAGGCGGUUCGGCACGUCCGUGGGGAAAUCGCCCGGCUCAACUGGGCGGGGUCGGCGGAUACGGCCGAGCUGGAGCAAGCUAGGGGGUAAUGGAAUUCCCGGUGUAGUGGUGGAAUGCGUAGAUAUCGGGAGGAACACCAGUGGCGAAGGCGGUUACCUGGAGCUUUGCUGACGCUGAUGCGCGAAAGCGUGGGGAGCGAUCCGG
rnacentral:rRNA from 1 species